rnacentral:rRNA from 1 species
UACAGAGGUCUCAAGCGUUGUUCGGAUUUAUUGGGCGUAAAGAGCUCGUAGGCGGUGUGUCGCGUCGGCCGUGAAAACCUGUGGCUUAACUAUGGGCUUGCGGUCGAUACGGGCAUCACUGGAGUUCGGCAGGGGAGACUGGAAUUCCUGGUGUAGCGGUGAAAUGCGCAGAUAUCAGGAGGAACACCGGUGGCGAAGGCGGGUCUCUGGGCCGAUACUGACGCUGAGGAGCGAAAGCGUGGGGAGCGAACAGG